AGGGUUUGAUUAUGGCUCAGGACGAACGCUGGCGGUGCGCCUUAUGCAUGCAAGUCGAGCGAAGCUUUUCAGUAGUUUACUACAGAAAAUGACUGAGCGGCGAACGGGUGAGUAACGCGUGAGCAAUCUACCUUAGUUACAGGGAUAGCCCGAGGAAACUCGGAUUAAUGCCUGAUAUUCUUUAUUUCUCGCAUGAGAAUAAAAGGAAAGGUCAGCCGAACUAAGAUGAGCUCGCGUUCUAUCAGCUAGUUGGUGAGGUAAAAGCUUACCAAGGCUACGACGGAUAGCUGGUCUGAGAGGACGAUCAGCCACACUGGGACUGAGACACGGCCCAGACUCCUACGGGAGGCUGCAGCAGGGAAUAUUGUGCAAUGAACGAAAGUUUGACACAGCGACACCGCGUGUGGGAUGACGGAUCUAGGUUUGUAAACCACUUUCAGGAGGGAAGAAAAUGACGGUACCUCCACAAGAAGCCCCGGCCAACUACGUGCCAGCCGCCGCGGUAAUUC
rnacentral:rRNA from 1 species